ACAAUGCUAAAUUUCCUUCACCACCUCUAUUGAGAUUUAACUCGGGACUCAAAAACUAAGCAAGUACAUAUUUUGAAGGCGGUCAUUACCACAACAGCAACCCAGUGGCAGGAACCAGAAUCAGUAUCUGCCAUUCUGAGAUCACUCAACCAUGCGAAUUUAUGAAGCUGGAUUAAAUGCUCCUAAUGCAGCUUCCAACUUUAUGACUCUGUGAUUCAUGUGCUAUAAAUUAACAAUAAUGUUCAGGAAAAGGGAAGGGAGAGAGAAGGGGAGGAAGUGGAGGAGAAAGAGAUAGACAUGUGGUAGGGCUCAGAUGGGCAAGCACCGUACAACACACAGAAAAGGUACAGACAAGGGGAGGGACAGACCCCAAAGACUUUGCUGACUGUAUUAACAUAAAUAAUCUUCAGGUCAGCGUAGAAGGUGCCAUAAAGUUAACUAAAUUCCUCAUUAUUA
rnacentral:lncRNA from 1 species